UACGAAGGGGGCUAGCGUUGCUCGGAAUCACUGGGCGUAAAGGGUGCGUAGGCGGGUCUUAAGUCAGGGGUGAAAUCCUGGAGCUCAACUCCAGAACUGCCUCUGAUACUGAAGAUCUUGAGUUCGGGAGAGGUGAGUGGAACUGCGAGUGUAGAGGUGAAAUUCGUAGAUAUUCGCAAGAACACCAGUGGCGAAGGCGGCUCACUGGCCCGAUACUGACGCUGAGGCACGAAAGCGUGGGGAGCAACAGG
rnacentral:rRNA from 1 species